rnacentral:tRNA from 2 species
AGAAACUUAGGUUAAUUUAAACCGGGGGCCUUCAAAGCCCCAAACGAGAGCUAGCCCCUCUUAGUUUCUG